UGCCACCAGCUAGUGUGGCGUAGUGGUUAGAGUGUUGGCCUAGGACCUGGAAGACCAGGGUUCAAAUCCCUACUAGGUAA